rnacentral:rRNA from 1 species
UGGGUAACCUGCCUCAAAGAGGGGAAUAGCCUCCCGAAAGGGAGACUAAUACCGCAUAAUAUGUUUAAGUCGCAUGACUUUAACAUCAAAGGAUUUUCUUUUAGAAAUUCCACUUUGAGAUGGCCCGCGGCGCAUUAGCUAGUUGGUGAGGUAACGGCUCACCAAGGCAACGAUGCGUAGCCGACCUGAGAGGU